rnacentral:rRNA from 1 species
CCCCUAGUAACUGCGAGUGAAGCGGGAAAAGCUCAAAUUUAAAAUCUGGCGGUCUUUGGCCGUCCGAGUUGUAGUCUGGAGAAGUGCUUUCCGCGCUGGACCGUGUACAAGUCUCUUGGAACAGAGCGUCAUAGAGGGUGAGAAUCCCGUCUUUGACACGGACUACCAGUGCUUUGUGAUGCGCUCUCAAAGAGUCGAGUUGUUUGGGAAUGCAGCUCAAAAUGGGUGGUAAAUUCCAUCUAAAGCUAAAUAUUGGCGAGAGACCGAUAGCGAACAAGUACCGUGAGGGAAAGAUGAAAAGCACUUUGGAAAGAGAGUUAAACAGUACGUGAAAUUGCUGAAAGGGAAACGCUUGAAGUCAGUCGCGUUGGCCAGGACUCAGCCUUGCUUUUGCUUGGUGCAUUUUCUGGUUGACGGGCCAGCAUCGAUUUUGACUGUUGGAAAAAGGCUGGGGGAAUGUGGCACCUUCGGGUGUGUUAUAGCCCUUAGUCAUAUACGGCAGUUGGGAUCGAGGACCGCAGCACGCCUUUAUGGCCGGGGUUCGCCCACGUUCGUGCUUAGGAUGCUGGCGUAAUGGCUUUAAACGACCCGUCUUGAAACACGGACCAAGGAGUCUAACAUGCCUGCGAGUGUUUGGGUGGAAAACCCGAGCGCGUAAUGAAAGUGAAAGUUGAGAUCCCUGUCGUGGGGAGCAUCGACGCCCGGACCUGAACUUCGGUGAUGGCUCUGCGGUAGAGCAUGUAUGUUGGGACCCGAAAGAUGGUGAACUAUGCCUGAAUAGGGUGAAGCCAGAGGAAACUCUGGUGGAGGCUCGUAGCGAUUCUGACGUGCAAAUCGAUCGUCAAAUUUGGGUAUAGGGGCGAAAGACUAAUCGAACCAUC